ensembl:snoRNA LOC120100421 small nucleolar RNA SNORA17
CCUGGUCCUAGAGAUAUUGUAGGUGUGGCUGCUGUGUCACAUGAAUAUCACUAGGUGGCAGAGAGGAGAGCGGCUAUGUCUACAUUCAGUAUUCUGACUUAGGAACAUCUGAAUGAUUACUAUACUAACACU